CCGGGGGGGCUGCGGGGACAAAGGGCCGCAUCCCUGGGGGGGUGACAGCCGUGGGAAUGGGAAAACGGGGAUGUUGUGGGGUGGGAAAGGGUCCCUGGAUGGGGGAUGAGCUUGGGAAUGGGAAAUGGGGUCCCAGAGGGGCACCGGGGGGAUGCAGGGAUGAGGUGCCACAUCCCUGGGUGGGUGCCAGCCGUGGGAACGAGACAGGGGACCCGUGGGGACACAGGGACACAUCCCUGGGUGGGUGACAGCCGUGGGAACGGGACAGGGGGACGCGUGGGGCACGGGGACACACGGACACAGGGACACAUCCCUGGGUGGGUGCCAGCCGUGGGAACGGGACAGGGGGACCCGUGGGGGCACAGCGAGACCCGGUGCCAGGGGGACCCCACCCAAAUGGGGGCACCCAGCAGGUGCUGGGCCCUCCCCACUGCGAGGUUUUUUUGGGGGGUCACAGCCCCACGCACCCCCUGCAGUCCAGGGAACCCGAAAUUCCCGUCCAGGACACUCCCUGUUCAUCCUGCCCCGAAUCCAAAACCUCUGCCCCACAGCGGGAAUGGGAAUGAUGAGAAUGAGAGUGGGAAUGGGAAUGAUGGGAAUGGGAUUGGGAUUGGGGUCACCACCCCACUGCAGGGGCGCUGUGCAGCCUUCCCCUCUUCCUCCUCCUCCUCCUCCUCCUCCUCCUCAUCCUCCUCAUCCUCACGCUCCAGCCCCAGGGAGGAGCUGGAACCUCUCACCCCUCUCUCUGCCCCUGAUUUGGGGCCGUGGAUCCCAUGCUGGGAAGCAGCAAUGAGGAGGGGGCUCCACCUGGAUCACCCCAAUAAAGGGGGGGAGUUGGGGGGCGCAGGUGGGGCUGGCACACCGGUAACUGGGCCAGGUCCCAGCUGUCCGUGGUGCUGGGUGCUACUCCUGCCCCCUGCAGCCAGAAUUCCCAAAAUGCCAUUCCCGGGACACAGAGCCCGCUGUUGUCCCUCCCCUCCGUGCCCUGGGGGGAUCCCAGAGCAGGAACAGCGGGAGCAGGAACAGCGGGAGCUGCUCCAGGCCAUGGCCGGGUCCCUCUGCCUCUUCCUCAGGAGGGAAAAUUCCUGCUCGUUCCCUGCCUGGAUCCCUGGAUAAAUCCCGUCUGGAUCCAUGGAUAAAUCCUGACUGGAUCCAUGGAUUAAUCCCGCCUGGAUCCAUGGAUAAAUCCCGACUGGAUCCAUGGAUAAAUCC
rnacentral:lncRNA from 12 species